GACGAACGCUGGCGGCGUGCUUAACACAUGCAAGUCGAGCGGUAAGGCCCUUUUCGGGGGUACACGAGCGGCGAACGGGUGAGUAACACGUGGGUGACCUGCCCUCAGCUCUGGGAUAAGCCUGGGAAACCGGGUCUAAUACUGGAUAUGACUCCAUGACGCAUGUUGUGGGGUGGAAAGCCUUGUGCGGCUGAGGAUGGGCCCGCGGCCUAUCAGCUUGUUGGUGGGGUGANGGCCUACCAAGGCGACGACGGGUAGCCGGCCUGAGAGGGCGACCGGCCACACUGGGACUGAGACACGGCCCAGACUCCUACGGGAGGCAGCAGGUGGGGAAUCUUGCGCAAUGGGCGAAAG
rnacentral:rRNA from 1 species